UAUGAAUAAGGAUCGGCUAACUCCGUGCCAGCAGCCGCGGUAAUACGGAGGAUCCGAGCGUUAUCCGGAUUUAUUGGGUUUAAAGGGAGCGUAGGUGGACUGGUAAGUCAGUUGUGAAAGUUUGCGGCUCAACCGUAAAAUUGCAGUUGAUACUGUCAGUCUUGAGUACAGUAGAGGUGGGCGGAAUUCGUGGUGUAGCGGUGAAAUGCUUAGAUAUCACGAAGAACUCCGAUUGCGAAGGCAGCUCACUGGACUGCAACUGACACUGAUGCUCGAAAGUGUGGGUAUCAAACAGGAUUAGAUACCCUGGUAGUCCACACAGUAAACGAUGAAUACUCGCUGUUUGCGAUAUACAGUAAGCGGCCAAGCGAAAGCAUUAAGUAUUCCACCUGGGGAGUACGCCGGCAACGGUGAAACUCAAAGGAAUUGACGGGGGCCCGCACAAGCGGAGGAACAUGUGGUUUAAUUCGAUGAUACGCGAGGAACCUUACCCGGGCUUAAAUUGCAGUGGAAUGAUGUGGAAACAUGUCAGUGAGCAAUCACCGCUGUGAAGGUGCUGCAUGGUUGUCGUCAGCUCGUGCCGUGAGGUGUCGGCUUAAGUGCCAUAACGAGCGCAACCCUUAUCUUUAGUUACUAACAGGUUAUGCUGAGGACUCUAGAGAGACUGCCGUCGUAAGAUGUGAGGAAGGUGGGGAUGACGUCAAAUCAGCACGGCCCUUACGUCCGGGGCUACACACGUGUUACAAUGGGGGGUACAGAAGGCAGCUAGCGGGUGACCGUAUGCUAAUCCCAAAAGCCUCUCUCAGUUCGGAUCGAAGUCUGCAACCCGACUUCGUGAAGCUGGAUUCGCUAGUAAUCGCGCAUCAGCCACGGCGCGGUGAAUACGUUCCCGGGCCUUGUACACACCGCCCGUCAAGCCAUGAAAGCCGGGGGUACCUGAAGUACGUAACCGCAAGGAGCGUCCUAGGGUAAAACUGGUAAUUGGGGCUAAGUCGUAACAAGGUAGCCGUACCGGAAGGUGCGGCUG
rnacentral:rRNA from 1 species